UCUGCCCCUGGAAGCAUUGCAGGUGUGACUGCUAUGUCAGAUGUGUGUUAGUAGCUGGCAGAGAGGAGAGAGGCUAUGUCUAUGUUCAGUGUUCUGACCUAUGAAUAUCUGAGUGAUUACUAGCUUAACAUU